UACGGAGGGGGCUAGCGUUGUUCGGAAUUACUGGGCGUAAAGCGCACGUAGGCGGACUGGAAAGUUGGGGGUGAAAUCCCGGGGCUCAACCUCGGAACUGCCUUCAAAACUAUCAGUCUGGAGUUCGAGAGAGGUGAGUGGAAUUCCGAGUGUAGAGGUGAAAUUCGUAGAUAUUCGGAGGAACACCAGUGGCGAAGGCGGCUCACUGGCUCGAUACUGACGCUGAGAUGCGAAAGCGUGGGGAGCAAACAGGAUUAGAAACCCUGGUAGUCC
rnacentral:rRNA from 1 species